rnacentral:tRNA from 1 species
GGUCCAGUGGUGUAGUGGCUAUCACGUUCGCCUCACACGCGAAAGGUCCCCGGUUCGAGCCCGGGCUGGACCA